CUGGCUUGGCGCCGUGGCGCGCGGAAGAGCUCGCAGCUGCCGGCUUGGCGAGAGGUCUAGUGCCCGCCGGAGCUCAUGUUGCCGCACGGGGCUCUGCCACUGCUCGCCCACCGCAGCUCGGUCGCACUGUGUGGGGAUCUGCCUUAGGCCUCCGCCAGACCUUGAGCCACCGUCGGAGCAGGUAAAAGGGAGGCGGGACGGGGCGGAGCGAAGCAACCUUCUGGUGUGCAGGGAGUCGAACACGACGCAGGGAGGAGGGAGGGUGGGAUGUGGCUGGGGGAGGUGGGGAGAAGAGCGAGAGAAGGGGAAGAGAGAGAAGAAGAGAGAGGAGGAAGGAAGGAAGUGGGGGUAAAUGAGUCUUUUGUAAACCCAGGUGCUAAAGUUUAGCCUAGUUUUCAAAAAAAAAAAGGGAGAUAAACUUUAGCCCUCCAUUUGAGCGGGCUAAACUGGGCUAAACUUCAGCCCUCCAUUUGAGGGGGCUAAAUUGGGCUAAAGUUUAGCCCUUGGUAUCCAAACAGGUGUCGAGGAUACAUCCCUAGUACCCGUAAGGAAGGAAGAAGUCGGACUCCUACUAGGAUUCCCCUGUAAUCCUACUAUGACUCAUCCCGUGUAAUCCUACUAGGAGUCCUCCUUGUAAUCCGACUAGUACUCUGCCCCUCGAGUAUAUAAAGGAGGGCAGGGGUACCUAGCUCGGAAGGUCACACCUCAACACCCAAGCGUAGGGCGCAAUAUACAAACACUCCUAAACAGGACGUAGGGUAUUACGCUACUCUAGCGGCCCGAACCUAUCUAAAUCCGUAUCUCGUGUCCUCGCUUUUACCUUCAAGUUCCAGAUCCG
rnacentral:lncRNA from 1 species